ACUAAAAUAGCUUAAUUAAAAGUUUAAUUUUGAAGAAAUUAGGAUGAAAUUUAUUUCUUUUAGUA
rnacentral:tRNA from 1 species